CCCGCCUUUACUGUAGCCAUUCGAAAACACUUUUAAAAAAUUGCUAUUUUCACCACUACAGUUAUCGAAACAUUUCCAUGUUCUUUGUUUGCAUAUCUACUGUUUUUCGAUAGCGCAAUUAGAUAGGCCCACUGUAAAUCUUUUGGCACUGCAAAAAACGUACAAUUUGCAAGCUUGGCGUGAAAUAAAGCAUGCGACAUUUUCCUUUUUUUUUUUUUGGCAGUUCCUGUUGUAUAAUAACCGUUGUUUCGUCGCGUAGUUUCAACUCUCUGAAAAAUUUUUAAUAUUUUUAGAGUUAGCUUCUGAUUCUUAUGAUUGCGAUUAAAGGCUGCCAGUGCCAUCAGUGUAACAAUUUCACGUACCGGUCCGCAGUGUGCGUUUAACAAACACUUUGCCGUAGACGCGGAGGAGGCACAAUGCUGCUCAUACUAACAGCUGUUAUCCACACUUGCAUUUUUUUCGAAUUAGACCUGCAUUUAGCUUGGUGUUUGCACAACAGUAGCAAUAGUACUAAUAAAGACUGUAGGGGUUAGGGCCAACGACUAUAAGGAGAAAGAGAGAGAGAAAGAAAUGCUCUGAGGUGACCUUCAGCUAUCAGUAAAAUUACGUUUUCGAGAAAAACUGUACAGUAAAUAUUACCAUACUCAUUUUGAUUUGCACUCAUCUGGCUUGGAGCAAAGUUGACCGCUUGUUAUUCGUGUGACUUCAGUCGUGUAUUUAAAUAGCAUGUAUUGAAUGAUAUGAACCGGACCAAACGCUGUUUUGACCGCUUUUCCAUGUAGCAAUGCUUUCGCAUUUCAGAGAAAAGUAUGCUUAAUUGUUCACUGGCUUCUGGCAUUAGUACUGUUAGAGUUUUCAACAGCCUGAAAAAACCCUCCUGUAUUAAACAAUCCACUCGGAGAAUGGCUCUUCCUUCACCAGAAAUUCUUCCUCGGGUAUCCGCGCUACUUGUUUUUGUUCUGCCUCAGUUGUGGCUGACUCGAAAGUUAGCUUAUAUGACUCGAACAAAAAAAAAACAAGCUAAUAGGGCAUAAGCUGCAGAACGAAAAAAGGGUUGCUGUGGAACACCUGAAUUAUAGUAAGUUCCGGCUACCGUGAUCGUAUAGUUUUUUCCGAUGCAGGACCGUGGUAUCUAGCUUGGCAUGGUAACUAACCAUGAAAAGAAAACACAGAGUAUGCCUAACUUUAUUCACGAAACUACUAACAUCUGAACAGUAGUUAAGCUGAACCAACAAGUCUGCUAUCUAUUGUGUUUAAGGCCUGCGUACAUUAACGGCACCACACUGUCUAUAGCCGCUACCACUUUUUGAAAUGUCCUUUUCGUGGGUCAACCUCUCCCAAGGGCUUGGAAUUCGAUCGGCAACAAGCGAUUAUACCAGGCUUAUCGUUUGAACGAUACCACUCUAUAUAAAGUAGAUAAAUUGAUAGUUCCACAAUAAACGGCAUGCGGUUAUCUUUUUACUGGCGCACACAAUUGGCGAAUGGACUUAAAGUGUAUAUAACAGUAACUAUCAUUUCUUGGCACGUUACUCGGCGUUCGCGUAUCAGUAAUAUAUUUGAAUUGAACUGAAUUAAAUGAUAAGUCUACGGAUCUUUAUCAAUAAUCUAAACUGACAUUUUUCACUGAGAAUUUCCUUAUUAUUUCGUUUGUUUUGCUCAAUAUAUACCUAUUUAUAUACAUAACAGAUACAUUCAAGUCCAGUAGGACCUCUAAAACGUCCUUUCUGAUUUAAGAGAUACUUGUUUCUUUUGCAAAUAGCAUAAAUAUCUGGUGCAGUGUUAUUUAUCUAUCAGAAAGCUUUAUGAUAUACAAUACUUUACGAAAAUUGAGCUGUAGUAUAAUAAGAAACCUUGGAACAACCGUUUUUUUGUUAGAAAAAUCGCUGACGUCAAUCUGAUUAAAGUCCAUCAGAGAACAAUAUUUUCUAUGUUUCCCAAUAAAUCGCAGCUCGCCAAUAGCGGCCUAUUAAUUCGUCUUUUCUUAAACCUCAUGGGUCUCAGGCGGUAAGGCUUUCCAACUCUUGGUAUCGGUUGACUUCCGGUGUGUAACUGUUGCAUCCGUUUUGUGUACCUCCGGUCCGAACAGCGACGUCGGGUGGCGUGUUCUGGGCACCGGAAGCUCUGCAGUGCUCCUUUGGAGGUUUCGAUGCUGUUGUGAUGUGCAGCGUGACGUCGCGGCAUGUGGCAGAUUACCCCCGGUGAGGUCGUUCAGUCAUAGUGGCCCAUUGGGCUAACCGAAUCCCCAAACUUAGUCUCCAAAGAGGCACUUUUAAGAUCUUCAAAAUGCCGUGUGUUGAACUUUAUUCGGUGUAUCCGAUUGCAAGAUUAAUUUUGAAAAUACCCGUUAUUUUCGAAAACAUGCACCAGGCAUGUCUUUCGUCAGUAUUAGUUGUGUGCUGCGGUAAACGGUUGAGAUUUAAAGCGAUACCACAGAUAGUUCCUUUUUUAAAUUUAAUUAGAAUGAUUUUGCUUACUUGCAGAAGAAAAUAGCAUUCUCAAUCCUGGUAUUAAGCUGUCUCCUGUCAUAUAUGUAUUCUAGAUGAUUUUUGCUAGCCAUGCAAAUGCUAUAUUCUAUCUACUGGUCGUGUGCUGCCCCUGUAAUAUAUCCAGUUUUUAGAAACUUAACAACUUUGCGAUAGUGCCGUGCGCGCAAUUAUUACGAUACAAUCAGGCAUUGUAAGCAAUCUACGUACACUCGAAUUGACUGUUACAAACUGGUUUUAUUUGGCCAAUAGCUCACUGGAAAAUCCUCUUCUUUCACAUAUUUCGAAAUUUGCCGUGACCCGGGAGAACAGAACGCGUUAAUGUAUUCACCUGUCUAUUUAAACACAUAAAUUUAUAUACAUACUGUAACAGCGUGUCAUUUCGGUACGAUCACAAAUGUAAUGGCUGAUUUGAAUGAUUCCUCAGCUGUAUGUAUCAUUGAGUGUGUUUGAUAUAAUGCAUUACUCGAGUCUGAGACCUCACACAGGUGGAAUAAAUUCAUGCAUAAUUUGACACUGGUAAGAUCAUGAAGACUACGAGUGAUUUUACCGAUCAAUAGGCAAUUAAUGUGUUUAUCAAACCUGUCUGCAGUGGUGCCUUGGAAUUAUAACAAAAUUUGUGUUACAAGUAAAGAUUUUCUUUAUCACCACUGUCGUUGCAUGACAAGUACGUAUAUGAUGACCUUGUCUUAUGUCACGCAUAUUGUGUACCUCGGGCUAUCGUUCCUUAACUGACUUAACCACUUAUAUUGUAAACUACUAUAAUAGCCUACAAUAUAGGUAAUAUUAGUAUUAUUCUUAGGUAUUGUUUACAUACAAACAUCUCAACUAGGUGUUUCGUUGGAUAUAAUCACUAAUAUAAAAGGAAUAUGACCGUUCACGACAAGGUUUGUGAACAAUGUCACGAUAGUCAUCGCGAAUAAUCAUAUCAUUUUCCGAUGAUCCUUGCAUUAUGUUUGAAACCUUACUCGUAGCUCUAUGUAUGAGAGGAUGGUGUUUAUGAUUCUAAAUAAAGGUUUUCGAAACAUUUCCAUAUGCGUGAUCUCAGGAAGCAUGAUGUAUUUUCGUGAAAUAAAUAUUUAAUAAUAGGUCUUACAGUUUGGUGCGAGGAAAAGCUUCAGCUAGAGGCAUACCCUACUAAAGCCCAAAUUACAUUUGUUAAUUAAGCUGCAAAUUUACUCAACUCUAUUCUAACAAAACGUUCAUCCUUGCUUCAUCUUCAGCUAUUGAAUACAAAAUAAGUCUGGGUAGCUAGCAACAGCCGUGGGUAUAGUGUAGUGAAUAAAAUAAAAUUGUGUCCCAAAUCAUCGCUAAAUGCCUGUCACGAAACCUACAAGUAAAAGCUACGUAAGAAAAUCGAGAACAUAACCUGUAGGUACAAUUAUUUAUAACCUGUCAAAACAUCUGCCGAAUUAAACUGGGUUUAUAGAGUAAAACGACAAUGUGCGAUUGCUGUGUCAUGUUUCUGCCCCGAAGCGAAAAAGAGUAGGAAUUAAAGGAAAGUUUUAAUACCGAUUAACGUAAGCUUAUUAUUCUCUAAAAUUAUCAAGAAUACCACUCAUCGCUACAAUUUUGAGUGACAAAAUGGGCAUAUUAUCAGCCUUGACUUGAUAUUUUAAUGCGUUUGAUAGCCAUUGUAUUUCUAAUGAAGCGCUCUUUACUAUACUAAUCAAACAGACCCAAUUGUGUCGGGUAAAAAGUUCCAUUACAAACUGAACGACUGGAAAGCCUUCUCUAAUACCAAAGGUACAGACGUCGGGGUUGACAUCCAGUUACUUGUGCAUCGCUUUGCCGACAUCUUUUGAUGUUUCUACCUUGGCGCAGAGUUGCUCGCUGCUUCUUAAUUAUGAUUCGUGCUAAUUACUCAGCCAUGUCGAGGUCCUCGAAAUCAUUUGAAUCCAAGGUAAAUCAGAAGCUCCAGAUCACGAAUCUGUUUUAGGUUUGCUAGUAUUUUUUUUUAGUACCUAGAUUGUUGUAUUACGCGGAUCUCACAAGCCAUAUUACCAAAGUAAGCGUUAUAGAAACUGUAUAUAGUAAGUACCCGUUAUAGAAACUGAUAUCUACCAUUUGUUUAAUGUAAGCUACAGCCAAAGGGUGCCAAUAUGUUCCCAACGCCGACUCCGUGCUCAGACAAGGUGCAUUAAUCGGUACCUUCAUACAUGUUGGCGCUUGUUUCGGGGAUUUUCCAGCGACUCUCCUCAUGCGAUCGAGUAUGUUGACUAUUCUACCCAAAGAGCGUCUUGUCGUUGUUCAUUUGCCAAUUGGUACUUCGCUAUUGAUUUAUUUCACUCAUGCCUUUGGGCUGAAAUCGGUCAGCGCCAUCUUAGUCUGGUGCCCAUCGUGCUGAUCUGUUAGAAAGACGUUAUAGGACAGAACAGCGCCCGGUAGAACCGAAUGAAAUCUUUUAUCGUCGCCAUAGGUAAAACUCGUACAACCACACGUUAUACGGUGAUCUACCUGUAUUUACGUUUUGUUCACCAUAAGAUAUUGUUAUUACAGCCACUCGUAAUCUAAAUGGCAAUACUUGAUAUACCGUUUUCAUUAGGGGGUAACUACGGGUGCUGGUAGUGCCACACGAGUUUUUCGGUAUAAUUAGACUUUGCUUUGUUGUAUACCACGUAUAUUAUUAGAGUGGAUUGAAUCCCGGGGUCUUUCGGUAUCAUCUCAACCGCCAGAAGGGAUUUUGCUAAUUUUCUGACGAGUCCGGGUAAAUGUUCUACCCGCGCCGUUCCAACUAUCCAUAUAUACACACAUGAUACACGCAACAAUUAAGUACGAAUUUUACGGAGUUUUGUGUAACACGCUAUCGAAACACCGAGAUAGCUAUAUAUCCGGCAGGACAAUUGCGUAGCACAAUCUAAUUUCAAUUGCUUUAAUUACGUGUUGGAUAAUCGGUACCUUUUAGGAUGAUUUUUUGAUUCAGUACUUGUAGCAAGUUUACAACUUAGUUGUUACAAAAUAAAACUUACGCAUCAUUUGAUUGCUAUCAAUUUCUUUUGGGGUUAAAUGGAUAGCCUAUGCUGAUUGGCCUUGUAGCCUAAACAAACGAUAUUGCCCUUAACAAGGAAUUUAUUUUACAAAGUACGAUUAUUUUACUUGCUUCUUGUGCAGACAAAUAACGUUAAAGUAUUUAAUAAUGCCCCAUUUCUACAAUCUACAUACAUCGAAUGCAUAUAAAUACGAUACAUCUCUAUGGGCCAAACUGAGCUCGGACUGAGAGGCUAAAUGAUGUGUGCUCAUGGAAAGAUAUCCCUGAACUUCGUUGUUGAUAUGCCAAAUAAUUGUUUUUUUUUUUAUGAUACGGUCCCCGUCACCGUUAGUUUUAGCAUUGCUUAAAGUGCUAAAGUAUUAAUGCUAAGAAAAUACACAACCUGUUAAUGAGCUAAUAAUCUGUUUCUGCAAUUUAUCUGCUUUGAUUUGGCAGUACUGGGGAUUGAAGGUCACUGUAUCCAUCGUUUGUCGGUGAUGUGAUCGGCUAUAGGACAGCUGUGCUCCAAAUCACCUGAUUAGCGGUACCACGAAUUUCAUGUACAAUGUUACCAUAAAUCAAUGUGCUAACACCAUGAUUGGCAAUAAUCGCCAUAAGACAUCCAACAACGUUACAAUUGGCGGUAAAUAUACUGGUGUGACAUGUAAAUGGAAAAAAAUUAUGCAUAUGUAUAUUCCUAUGUUUAUUAUAAUAUGUCCGCAAAGGAAGGCUAUGCUAUAAUGCCACUAUACAUGUGGCCCAGGUACAUGGCGUUGCGUAAAGUACUUCCAGGAUGAAAAAGAUUAGCGGACACGCAUACGUUGUUCCGUGACGGAAGCCAAACGUCAAAGCUAAAAUGCAAAACAUUAACUUAUCUUGGAUAAAAAAAAGGUUGCAAAACUGCUUUAAGUUUGUCCUAACUGCGUCACUGGAUAAUCGGGCAUGGUAACCAGCGAUAUAAACAAAGGAAAUAUACAUCCUAUAUAGCAAACCUAGGGUAUUCAUGUGCAAAUAUACGGUAGUAGCGGUCACAAUGUGUUUUAGAACCAUCAGGAGUUAAAUUGCCUAGUAGACUGCAAAAUAUCGAUUAUAUAUAUUUCGAACUUGAGACAAAAACGCAAAAUGAUCGAGCUCGGUAAAGUAUGCGUAUAUAAAUUGGGCCACGAAAAAAUUUUCUAAAAUAUUCCACUUCCUUCUUCGUCCGGUACUAUGUUCACCGCUGCAUCAUGACAAUGCGCCUGGUUGAUUACGAAAAAUGUUAACCGCAAACACACGACACUAAUUACGAUAAUAAUAUGAAUGCUGUAAAAAAUGUUAACCGUUUAUUUUUUUUUAAUUUAAUAUUUUAUUUUAAUAACUUAAUGUUUAAAUUUGCCAUUGUUGCUUGAGCCGCGCUUCCGUAGACCGUUUCAUGAUUGAAGCCAGUUGUCUGGAAUACUGCCGAACGGCUGAAGUACCGGAUUUAAGAGCACGAAAAAACAGAAUAUCCAUUCAGGUAUGCAGCAUCACCUGUCUCGUUGUUGCCUACCCAUUUUCGAACCAGUCAGUCUUUUCGUUAACUGUCGUCUGCUCAGUUCGAUAGCUACAGAAAUCGGCAUGAUCAGUUGUUUAAUUUUUGCAGUUGACUUCUACGAGUUACGCAUUGAUUCUUAUUAUGAAUCAUAUGUAUGUAAAGACUAAGAAUAUUUAUAUUGGUUGUCGUUAGACAAUCGGUGAGAAAUGUUGAUGGAAACCGGUUAAAUACUGACGACUGAAAUAAUUCGUUUGCUAGCUUAUCCGCUUUAUCAUGUCAACUGCGAAGUGCAACGCCGCGGAGAGAACGUUUUUCAUGUGCUUGUUGGUAAGCUCGUGGCAGUUCCUGGAACAGAACCAGCAGUUCCCGUGAAUGCUGAAGUGACACUAACUUUGGCCUUGAAAAACUUUGUCCUGAACAAAAUAACAAUUUGCGACGAGGUACUGAUUUGAGUAGGCGGCCCGAGCAUUCCAACAGCUCGCCUUUCGUCCGUAUGCUUAGCCCGCAUUAUGCCCAUUGGCCUGAAGCUAUGAAAUUCAUGAGUGCUGAAGAACAGGCCUACGUUUGGAUACAUCCAUUCAUCGCGUCUGGAUCAUCUAAGUUCCUCUAUGGAGUCAGUUCUGCCGAACAGUGAAUUAAUGUGUGAGCUAUCCUUAGUUAGAUGACUCUUGAAUUUGCAAUUUCUCGUUUCAGUGUUGAAGUUUUGACUUGAUGCAAACUGUUUACGAAGAUCGAAGCAGAGCUCAAAAACUUCUUGCUCUGCAAACAUUGCACCAAAUCGUUAAACUGUAAGAAUCAAUACGUAACACUUCUCGAUGGCUCAGACCCAGGCGAGGAACUAUUAUUAUAUAAUUGGCCGGCGACUACAAAAAAACAACAGACGCAAUAUUAAGGAUAUAAAUAGCAUCUCUCUUCGAGGAAAUCGAGGAGCAUGUCUAAACCAAGAAAUCAACUAUAUAUAUUAAGGGUGGCUUUUUGGACGCGAUUCUCAACGAUAAUAAAAAUCGCGAAAAAUCAAAGACUCCUACUUAAUUGUUAUCGAAGAUCUGUACAACAAACUGGAAAUAAUUAUUCCAUAAAAAUAGGACUGCAAAAUAAAAACUAGUCUCGUUUUUGUGAGAACUAGACACGUCAAUUCAUCGUCGACGUCGUCUCUAUCGUUUACGAUCAGAUUUUCAUAUUAAUCAUUUUCGAUGUUUACCAAUAGACUUGCUUAUUUCAACAUUUAGUUAUUUCGUGUGAUAAGGGCGCAGAUCAAAAUCGUGUACGGCAUUUGUCCUGCGCUACGAAGAUACUCAAGUAUACUGGGUAGGUAUUCUGUAUACGAUAAAAUAGGUUAUUAGAUCUCUUGCGAUUUUAGCAACUAUGCAUUUAAUGUUAUCAAUAUUUAACCUUAUCUUAUGUAAGCCAGCCCAUUGAAAACCCCUUCAACUUAACCGCUAACGGGCGGGGUGAUCUACACCUUGACAAAAUAAAAGAUAGACCUAAAAUAGGAAAAUUUAUUAGAGAAAAAAUGCUUCCAGUUUAAAGGGUAUGCCAUUGGUCAUUACUACAGAGUAUACAAAGCAAUAUUGGGAUGUCUUGAAGAAGGUGCUCAUUAGUACUUUGUGCUGUUAAACUGCUCAUUUCCAUGCUUUGUUAUUCCAACUAACAUAGAAAGAACUGAUGAUGUAUUUCCGUCAUGCCGCUAGUUCUCACGAUCGUGCGUGACUUUAAGGGAAUCAGAAACAGAAAUUUUAAUGGAUCUCUUUAACGCCUUUCGUCACCACUAUCGAGUGAUAGUACAAACGUAAAUUAAAACAAUUAGCUAUUGGAAACGCCCACAUAUUGUUUACUAUUAUUCAAUCUCAAAAGAAAAGGAAAAAUCCAAGAAAAUAUUUAAGCACAGGGAUUUUAAGAUUACGUUGCCAAUUUCUGUCUGUGACCGUCUAAAUCAGCGUUACACGAAUCGAGUGGAAAACAAUUUCUAAGCCUUGUUUCAUAAGUUGAAUACUGCUGCUAAUUGAGUCACUGUUGAGUGUUUCGGCCUGCAAUUAUGCAACGAAGUUCCCUCAUUUAAUACUCGCUUUUUAGCAACAGCCGGGCUGUCCGCAAGUGCUUCAAAUCCGAAUAGAAUUUUUAUGCCACGCAGAUCUAUUUCAAUACUUAAUAUAGUUUAUUAUUUAUUGUACCUAUUCCACCGAAAUAAAUAUAUGUGACGUAAAAAAAAAGUACCGAGUGCACCAUCUUCAAUAUGAUCGAACACGUUUCUUAGUUACGCGUCUGUCACCUUUCCCUCUUCCCUGUCAAAAGGAAGUACACUGCUGAAAUACUAUGCAUUGUUCCUUCCGUGCAGAGGUAGCAAUUUAUUCUAUAUCUCCCUUAACAUCAAGUUACAAGUCGUUACAUAAAAUUAGAUCUUUGUUCGAAAAGUAACUUUAGCUCCUUUCUUCAUGUGUAUAUAUAUAUGCAUUCCGUAUGCUUAUAUUUAGGGUGCAUUCAAGUGCAGCUCGUGCAGAUCACUGAGCUGCUUACGUGUAUGUUGCUUUGCAAUAGUGUAAAAGAUCCUCAGUGAUACUUACAUAGAAAUAAGUUGCAACUGUCUGAGACUUCUGUCUGUCAAGAUGAUAUCAUAUUGAUUGUUAAAAGUUGAGAUGAAAUGAAGGCACAAUCAUCUGUUGACUAGAAACCUAGUUUCAACUACGCUUAUUGAUUGAUUAAAUACUAUUAAUUCCAAGAUAUCUGCUUAUGUUUAAUAUAGUAAACCCGUUGUAUGUUAUAUACAACAAUCACUAUAUACGUAAUGGGCAUAAAAAGAAAUCAAAAUUAUUUUUAAAGAUAUUUCUUCACUUUGAAAGCUAACAAUCAUUCUGUCUAUCAAAUCUAUUCGUCUCUAUUAAAUUGUAUAACUAAUAACGUGGGAAAGACACAGUUCUGUGGCAUUUCGCCAACGUUCAUCUAUCGACUGAAAAUAUCAGUCCUGAAAAAUCCCUUCGCGGGAUUGCAAUCACAUUAUGGAAACGUUCCAACUUGGACGACCUAACAUAGUAGAAUAAAGCUAUAUUCUUGCGUGGUAACUGUUUACGGUUAUUCACACCUCUGCGCUGAUAUAACCGUCCCAUUCGCUCCCAAUGUAAUGAUAGCCUCACGUUUCUGAUGAAAAAGUUUCAUGGUGACUACAUUGAUUGAAACUUUUUCCGUGCAGCAAAAUUUUUUUUAUCUAUACUGAUCUUUUCAGAGUGCCGCAAAUCCGAAUACGAACAUGCGCUUGUUUAAGGCCUAUUGCGGCAUACCCUCUCAAUAUAGACAAGUUAACUGUUACCACUACUCAAGCACUACACAGAAUUUUCAGACAUCUUUAAAUCAAACAUCAUGCACACCCCAGAGCUGCCGAUUCUUCUCGCUCGCACCUAGAGAAUGCAACUCAUCUGCAUGGGAAUAACCUAUAUGCAUAUAUAUGUAUAUAUAUAUAGAACGUUUAUUCGAAAAUCUCGCUUUUGUUUGCUGAUAGUGACAAUUAAGCGGGCUAUAUGCAAUAAAGCUGUAAACAUCGAAAAUGUUGCUUCAACAACACUAUUGAUGUUGUUAAAUCAUGAUCCCACACGAAAAAUGCCAACUUGUCAGAAUUGAUGGUCCAGUAUUCUUUCCCAGUUGUUGAAUGCAUGUUCGACAUGAAGAAUAAUAUAAAAUUAUUAGUGCCAGAUCUGUUUUUGCUACUUGAAGUUUGAGUCUUCUGUCCAUUAAAUUCAAAGAGAACCUGACAAGAAUUUUCUCUUAUAAUUAAAUUUCUGUAGCCUUAUUGGAUGCACCAUGCAGCCCAGUGUGGUGCGUGUUUUUAAGGUAGAAUCCUGAACGUUCGUAUCAUCAGAAGUCUGUGGAGCGAA
rnacentral:lncRNA from 1 species